UGCCUCUGCGUCUCGACUCCUCCCCUCCCCCCGGCACCCAUUAACCCCAGAAUCGGUUCCCCUCACCUCCUUCGACCGUUCCCACCCCCUAGUGCGCCUCGUAGACAGCCAUAAUGGCCACCACGAACGCUUGAAACUGCAGCCAUUAAACACAUUAAUCCCGGCGACGCCCCGCUCAACUCCGGCUCUCCCCUGCCCUAUAAACGGUACCCCGGCAGACGCCUUCUCACCCUCCUUCUUCACGUCUAGAAAUCCCUCUGCCUAUUCCCUUGUACAUAGAGUAAUCUCUCGCCGAAGUUCAUCACUGCAGCCACGAAUUGAGGAAGCGAGAGCACUCGCCCGACGGGGUCGAGUUCCACCGCCGCCCGGAAGGAUUCCAGCGAGCCCGUGGCAUAUGUACAGAACAAGUUCGUCGCCAUAUCCUACUCCAUCGUCUUCAGAGAGACCCCCUCUCCACCGUCCGACACUCCUAAUUCACCGGAGCACGCCCGAGCCACCAUCUUCCUCAUCGCCGACGACCAACUCCGAUCUCGAUAGAUUAGUGGCGUUGAUGGAGCCUAACUUAACGACUACGUAUAAUUCCGCUGUAUUAUCUGCCAGCUUGAGCUGUGCCUAAGGUAUGAUAUAUACAUAUAUAUAUCUGGAUCUACCGUUGUAGUAGAAUGAUGUAUGUCUUACUGAUAUUCAUUUUUGUUACUGUGUGUGCUAGCUAUGAUC